rnacentral:rRNA from 1 species
UUAAGAAUCUUGCGCAAUGGGAGCAAUCCUGACGCAGCGACGCCGCGUGAAUGAUGAAGGCCUUCGGGUUGUAAAGUUCAGUAAGCAGGGAAGAAUAAGCAACGGGUAAUAUUCGUUGUGAUGACGGUACCUGCCUAAAGCCCCGGCUAACUACGUGCCAGCAGCCGCGGUAAUACGUAUGGGGCGAGCGUUGUUCGGAAUUAUUGGGCGUAAAGGGCGCCUAGGCGGGGGACUAAGUUAGUUGUGAAAGCUAUGGGCUCAACCCAUAAAUUGCAAUUAAGACUGGUUCUCUUGAGUUCGGGAGAGGAGAGCGGAAUUCCAGGUGUAGCGGUGAAAUGCGUAGAUAUCUGGAAGAACACCAGUGGCGAAGGCGGCUCUCUGGCCUAGGACUGACGCUGAAGCGCGAAAGCGUGGGGAGCGAACA